AUUUGAUGAAUGAUGAUGAUGAUGAUGAAGAUGAUCAUGAUCAUGAUGAUGAUGAUGAUCAUGAUCAUCAUCAUCAUCAUCAUCAUGAUAUCAU
rnacentral:pre_miRNA from 1 species